UACGUAGGGGGCAAGCGUUGUCCGGAAUCAUUGGGCGUAAAGAGCGUGUAGGCGGCUCGAUAAGUCUGCUGUGAAAGUCCAGGGCUCAACCCUGGAAGGCCGGUGGAAACUGUCGGGCUAGAGUCCGGAAGAGGCGAGUGGAAUUCCCGGUGUAGCGGUGAAAUGCGCAGAUAUCAGGAGGAACACCGGUGGCGAAGGCGGGUCUCUGGGCCGAUACUGACGCUGAGGAGCGAAAGCGUGGGGAGCGAACAGG
rnacentral:rRNA from 1 species